UAUUGGUCAAUGGACGCAAGUCUGAACCAGCCAUGCCGCGUGCAGGAUGAAGGCCUUCUGGGUUGUAAACUGCUUUUAUCAGGGAAGAAACCACAGAUUUCUAUUUGUGCCGACGGUACCUGAGGAAUAAGCACCGGCUAACUCCGUGCCAGCAGCCGCGGUAAUACGGAGGGUGCAAGCGUUAUCCGGAUUCACUGGGUUUAAAGGGUGUGUAGGCGGGCAUGUAAGUCCGAGGUGAAAUCUCCGAGCUCAACUUGGAAACUGCCUUGGAUACUAUAUGUCUUGAAUAUCGUUGAGGUAGGCGGAAUAUGUCAUGUAGCGGUGAAAUGCUUAGAUAUGACAUAGAACACCGAUUGCGAAGGCAGCUUGCUAAACGAUUAUGACGCUGAGCACACA
rnacentral:rRNA from 1 species